AUUGAACGCUGACGGAAUGCUUUACACAUGCAAGUCGAACGGCAGCACGGGAGCUUGCUCCUGGUGGCGAGUGGCGAACGGGUGAGUAACAUAUCGGAACAUGUCCAAUAAUGGGGGAUAACUACCCGAAAGGAUAGCUAAUACCGCAUACGCCCUGAGGGGGAAAGCGGGGGAUCGUAAGACCUCGCGUUAAUGGAGUGACCGAUAUCUGAUUAGCUAGUUGGUGAGGAAAGGCUCACCAAGGCGACGAUCAGUAGCUGGUCUGAGAGGACGACCAGCCACACUGGAACUGAGACACGGUCCAGACU
rnacentral:rRNA from 1 species